rnacentral:tRNA from 1 species
GAGGGUAUAGCUCAGUGGUAGAGUGUGUGCUUAGCAUACAUGAGGUCCUGGAUUCAACCCCAGUACCACCA